UAAUAAGUAAAAUUAAGGAUAUGUAGAAAUUUAUAAUUUAAAUAAUUUCAAAAAUUUGCUUUAUAUAGGUGAGUGGCAUGAAAUUAAAGGUUAGAAAAACUUGAUUUUCAUGACGUAGGUUAAACAGAGUAUGAAAUUUCCCUUUAAUCCAACCAAAGUGGAUGUAUAUGCUUUAUGUGAUAGAUACCCACACCCACCCUUGA
rnacentral:misc_RNA from 1 species